ensembl:snRNA U6 U6 spliceosomal RNA
GUGCUCGCUUCAACAGCACAUAUACUAAAAUUGGAAUGAUACAGAGAAGAUUAGCAUGGCCCCUGCUCAAGGAUGACACGCAAAUGUGUGAAGCGUUCCAUAUUUUU